CUCUACACUUGCGCGGGUGGGCAGCAUUCCCGCUGGCGAUGACG
rnacentral:sRNA from 2 species